GUGAGGCUGCUUUGUUUGUAGGGAUUAUCAAGGUUUUGAUCCUAUUUUUGAAAAGGGAAUCGAUAUGAUUGAUUGAGUACACCAGGCUUUCUUUGAAGAGAAGGUGGAAAAAUUAGUCUAGAUUCCCACCUUGCGAGAGCAGGGUCAGAAAACCUGAUAUCUAACGGCAAAGCGGGAAAAGC
rnacentral:other from 1 species